GGCUAAGCCGAAAAACAAAUCCUCAGGUUCAAGAUGGAAACCAACAAGUCACUUUUCACUUCCCACCCCACUGUCCCAAAUGUCUCCUUUUGGGGAGCACGACUUUCGGGGUAACACGAGAUACCCACCCUCUCAUCUAACGAACACUAAAGCAGCGUUCCGGUCGGCUGGGGAAUGGAACCAGUAUCCCGGCGUCCUCUCGAUUCCCGUAACGACGUAGGGGGGAGUGGUGAGGUGACGUGGCCGCUCUGGCCUGCGGCCGGCAUCUCUAUAGUACCGACAGGACGGUGGAGAGGGUAUUAGGGGGCGGGGCCGGGGCCGCAGUUCGCGUCGCAGGCUUGCUUCUGCGGGCGGAGCAGAUGGUGGUUGCCUUUGGUCCUCAGCGAGAAACGGACUGUAUGGACGCCGCGAAACUGCGUCCUGAGGUGCGAGGCCGGAAGCGGGGACCACUUGAACCUGAAAGUCUAGAAGAUCCAGGUUCCCGGUGGGGAAGGCGUGCCGGGGCGUCAGGCGCACGGGACCCGGGAGCAGAUCACUUUAAACUUGGAUCAUCAUUUAAAUACUUUAAGUGAUCUUGUUUUAUUUUGCUCAUGACACUUUAUUAGCUACCUGGUCAUUUUUGUGUCUGAAUUCAUCAAGUAAAAUACACGGAUGACUGGGAAUGUACACAGGAACGAGCUGUCUGUUUUGUGAUGGCGCUUAGCAUGUGCUGACGUACUGCUCUGCGAUGGCAUCGGAGACUGAGAAGUCUCAUGCUUUACUCCAGUCGUGCAGCACUGAAUCUCUUCUUUCCAGCCUUGGUCUGGGCUUAUUCUGCACAGUAGCUGACAGACUUCUUCAGUUUCCCAUAAUUCAACAAAAUGCCUGGCUUCGUGCACUUUCAGAUAACUCAGUACACUGCGUGAUCGGCAUGUGGUCAUGGGCAGUAGUCAUUGGAAUCAGGAAGAAGACUGACUUUGGAGAAAUCAUUUUAGCUGGGUUUUUAGCCUCUGUUAUUGAUAUAGACCACUUUUUGCUAUCUGGAUCCCUGUCUUUAAAGGCUGCUCUGAGUCUUCCACGACGCCCUUUCCUUCACUGUUCUACUGUGAUCCCCACUGUGGUUCUGACCCUAAAGUUUACAAUGCACUUUUUCAAGCUCAAAGACUCAUGGUGCUUUCUUCCCUGGAUGUUAUUUAUAUCCUGGACCUCACACCACAUCCGAGAUGGAAUUCGCCAUGGCUUGUGGAUAUGCCCAUUUGGAAAAACUUCUCCUUUGCCAUUUUGGCUUUAUGUAAUAAUCACAUCAUCUCUACCUCACAUCUGUUCACUCGUUAUGUAUUUCACAGGGACCAGACAAAUGAUGUCUUCAAAACAUGGAAUUCAUAUUGAUGUGUGAGAUAACCACAUGGCAGUCUUUGAGAACCACUGGUUGAGACAAUGACAACCAACAUUAAAGUGAAUUUAAAACACAUAUUAGGACAGAAUCUCAGAACUGCACGGCCUGCUCACAGGUCAAUGCUGCCUCUUGGCACAGACAGAAACCUCCAGGGAUUCAGCUAAAAGGCACGCUGCCCUUUGAACACCUGGAAAUGGACUUCACUGAAAUGAAACCUCACCGACACUACCAUUACCUGCUGGUCAUGGUAUGUACAUUCUCAGGAUGGGUAGAAGCUUUUCCUACCCGGACUGAAAGAGCAUCAAAAGUAGCCUGGUGCCUGCUUAGGGAGAUAGUUCCCAGGUUUGGAUUUCCUACCAGCAUUGGGUCAGACAAUUGCCUGGCUUUCAUAGCUGAUUUAGUUUAACAAGUAAGCAAAACAUUAAACAUCAAGUGGAAAUUACAUCCAGCAUAUAGGCCCCAGAGUUCUGGGAUCGCGGAAGGAACCAACCGGACACGUGAAGAGACUCUCCAGGUGGAUCUUAGAGACUGACUGCUCCUGGGUGGAUUUGUUUCCGACGGCGCUGCUCAGACUCAGGAUGACCCCACGGUCCCACAGCUCUUCUCUGUACAAAAUUGUGUAUGGGAGGCCCCCUCCCAUAAUAAAACAGAUGUCAACAAAUCUGCCUCAGGUAAGGGGAGGUGAGAUUUCACAGCAGAUAGAACAACUGGGUAAGGUUAGUAAUAAAUCAGGUAACUAAGUUUGUACAAGAAAGGGUGCCAUUCCCCUUGGGAAACAGAUUUAUGAAUGUGUGCCUGGGGAUCAGGUGUGGUCAAGGACUGGAAACACGACUCCUUGGCCCCACGUUGGAAGGGUCCGUAUACUGCUGUUCUAACCAGCCUGACUGCAGGUGUCACUCCCUGGAUUCACUGCAUGAGGGUGAAGAGCUCAUACCAUGCAGACCUGGAGGGCGCCCAGGGGACUACACAAAAGGACCCCACUGAUCCCCGUGAAACCAAGAUCAUCUUAAAGAAGAAAAAGGGAUGAAGCUCUACAAUCAACUGCUGCUAAAGGACUUGCUGGUAUCAUCCUGAGACUAACCAUAGUUUCAGAACAGAGAGGGACCUGUGCUAUAAUUAGAAUUGAAUGUUGUGUAUAUAUUCCUGAUUUAUCUGGCUAUAUAUCAGCCACCCUGGAUGACAUGAAAGGUCAGGUAAAAGUUAUGUCUGAUGAUAAUCUUCCUGUUUGGACUUUGGUCCUAUCUUGGGUGAAGGGUGAUUGGUGGAAAACUAUAUUUACCAUUGUUAUAGUUGCCUUGAUAGUUCUGCUUUGUGGACCCUUUAUUUUGCAAUGUAUUAUGAACUUUGUAACCCAAAGGUUGAUGUCGUUCUCUCAAAUUGGAGGUCAGAGAGUCAGGGUGCAAUAUAUCCCUAUGAAUGAUGCUCAUACUAUGAGUUAAGAGCAUCAAGAGGUAGGAAUGAAGGAGGAAACAGACAGAACAGGCUCCAUCUUGAAAGCAGGACUCCAUCUCGGGCUGGACUUUGAUCUAGAUGCCCAGGAUCUAUGGAAACGACAUACCAACUGGAAAACCAGGCCCCCUGGAUGGAAGAGCCCCAGGGCUCAUACCUAGACUCUCUGUUGCCUAAAAGAAUACCCUAAUUGUCUGUGUAACUGAAUAGAAUCAUAAAUUCUAUUAUGCUUAUUGGGAUAUGACCACAGGCCUGUUGAUAAUUGUCCACUGUUAACUACCUAGGCUUAAGGCAUAUGAAUCACAGUUUAACUUUGAUUGUAUCUUUCUUUUCCUUUGUUCAGACUAGUUUCAGGGAAUUUGUGGAGGUGGGUUUGGGCACAUACACUUAGGGUAUAUAAGGUUUUCAGAAAAACUGGUCAGGGUCCUUGGCUAAGAGGAGACUCUGCCUUGGGCCCGCCGGUGUAAUAAACUGCACUCCACUAUCUGCAUUGUCCUUCUGAGUGAGUUUGUUUCCCGGAACGCAUGACUACAACAAUGGUGGCCUGCGAUCAGUGGUCUUUGUUGUUACUACAACUCCCUGAAUGCUCAGAUGAUGGUUAGCAUUUUUUAGCAGCAAAGUAUUUUAAAAUUAAGGUAUGUACAUUGUUUUUCUAGAUAUAAUGCUAUUGCACACAUAGCAGACUGUAGUAUAAACAUAACUUUUAUAUGCACCAGGAAACCAAAGAAUUUGCUUGACUCACUUUAUUGUUAUAUUUGCUCUAUUGUAGAGUCUGGAACCAAACUCUCAGUAUCUCCAAGGUAUGCCUGUGCAUUUUUGUUGAUUGAAUGGUUAUAUCAAUUUUACCUUCCACUAUCUUCUUAGAAGAUAGGCAUUGACAUGUCUUGGCUGUAACUCAAGGUUCUUUCCUGAAAUGUCAACCAAAAAAAAAGGAAAAUAUAAUUAAAAGUUUCAAAACCAGCACCAAAGACCUGAUGGGAGCUUAAAAUUUCAUCUGUUCUCCACCCUAAGGAAGACAUAAGGGGAAAGGUGAUCUAGGAGUCCAAAUACAGGAAAAAGAAAGAUGGACAUUACUUUGAUGUUUUUAUUAUUUAAAAUUGUGGGGUCUUUUUUGAUGCUUUUAAAUAAUUGCUAAAUUAUUGGGGUGGUUUGGUUACAAGCUAGCUAUGAGACAGAGGGAUACAUUAAUCUCCCUUUUAGAGGCAGCUGACAGCAAUCUCUCAGGUUUUCAUGCUCUUCCGGAACCUUCCCACCUUCCAUUGAGAGAGACAGUCUGUUUCUCCUUCUUUCAUCCUGUGUAGAACUUCGUGGCUGCCCCAAUUAAUGGAAUGCAGUGAAAAUGAGCCUGCAUACAUUUCCAAGACAAGUCAUAAAAGGCUAUACAGCUUCCAUCCAGUUCAGUCUCUCACUCAUGGGAUACUUGCCUUGGAAGCCAGCGCCCAGACUGUGGGAAAGACAAGACAGUCACGUGGAGAGGCCCAUGCAGACAGCAACCGGGUCCCCAGCUGACAGCCAGCCUCAACUGCCCUGUAACGGGAGUGAGCCCUCCAGAACAUUCAGGCUCCCAGCCUCCAAAUUACUCCAGAUUAUGCCAACUGGAGCAGAUGUCAGUUAUCCUCUUCCUCAAAUGCAGAUUCAGGAGCAAACAAAAUGCUGGGGUGUGCUUCUGUUUGUUUUGCAGCUCCAUACCGCCUAUAGGGAUCCUAAUUCCCCAACUAGGAAUCCGACCCAUGCCCCUUGCAGCUGGAAGCAUGAAUUCCACCAGGGAAUUCCCCAAUGCUGUGGUUGUUUAAGCCACCAGUGUUGGCAUAUUUGUUAUGCAGCCUCAACCCCAAAAUAUUUUUUAACACUGUAUUUGAAAAAUGUGAGACUUCCCGGGUGGCUCAGUGGUAAAGAAUCUGUCUGCCAAUGCAGGAGACACAGGUUCGAUCCCUGAGUUGAAAAUGGCAGCUCACUCCAGUAUUCUUGCCUGGAAAAUCCCAUGGACAGAAGAGCCUGGUGGGCUACAGUUGAUGGGGUUGCAAAGAGUUGGACAAGAUUGAGUGACUAAAUAACAACAUUUGAAAAAUAUAUACAUGGUGUAGUAAGGAACACAGAACUCU